rnacentral:rRNA from 1 species
UACGUAGGGUGCGAGCGUUGUCCGGAAUUAUUGGGCGUAAAGAGCUUGUAGGCGGUUUGUCGCGUCUGCUGUGAAAAUCCGGGGCUCAACCCCGGACUUGCAGUGGGUACGGGCAGACUGGAGUGUGGUAGGGGAGACUGGAAUUCCUGGUGUAGCGGUGGAAUGCGCAGAUAUCAGGAGGAACACCGAUGGCGAAGGCAGGUCUCUGGGCCACUACUGACGCUGAGAAGCGAAAUCAUGGGGAGCGAACAGG